CAUUUUUGGGUGAACUGUCCCUUUAAAUCUGCCAAAUUUUCUCCUUUUUGUUAUUUUUUAUUAAUCAAUUUCUCUUGACAAUAUAUUUAUGAAGUGUUAAUCAGCAUGUCUAUGAAUCUCAAUUAAAAUGCCUUCAGGACUCCCAUAGUGCAAUAAUGUAUAAAUAUGUCAUGUACAUAUGUAAAUUCACUCAUAUUUAAUUCAGUAACUGUACAUACCCCUACCUUACACACAUAUUAUCACUUGCACAUGUACGUACGUGUUGUGUAUUUUGUUGGUUCAUGUUUUUCAUGUCUUAUUUUGAAAUUUCUAGUUCCUGUUUCAUGUCAUGUGGUUCCCUUGUCAUGUGAUUUCAUGUUUCCCUCCAUGUUCAUGUGUCUUGUUUUCAUUGGUUGAUUGUCUUGUUAUCUUGUUUAGAGUUCUUUGUGUUUAUUGGUUAUCUUUGUCAUGUGUUCUCCCAUAUCAUGUAUUUAACCCUCAUGUUUUCCAUUGGCAGGUAUUGUUUGUGAAUGUAACUUUGUUGGAUUAUUCAAGUUUAUGUCUAGUCUAGUUAUGCCAAGCCAAGUUUAUGUUAUAUCAAGUUCAUGUUUAUUUAUGAUUGUAGUUAGGGUUUUGGAUGCACUGUUGGAAUAAAUUUGCACUUGGGUUCUUCUUCGUCAUCGUCUUUGCCAGUGCCAGCAACAUAUGUUACAAUACGGCAUUCUAAGUUAUAUGUCCUAUUUUUUUGUAUGUCUAUUUAAACUCUUACCUUAUUUUAUAUUCUGUGUCUCACUGUAAUGUUCUGUGUGCACUUGCUUGUUUCUAUCACCAAAAAAAAUUCCUUGUGUACGUGAGCACACUUGGCAAUAAAGCUGAUUCUGAUUCUGAGCUUGCUAAUGGUAUCUUGAUACCCCCCUCCCAACAACCCCUUUGCCAAAGGCUUUCGUGACAAUGGACUGAACAGGAAAAGGUUUAGAGAAAAAGAGACGCAGGUUUCAGAUGGACAGAUCAAACAGGAUUUGAAUGUGGCAGAACGAGCAAGCAUUGGGACGGUCACAGGAAGAUGUGGAUGUGACAGUAUCCAGUUCUGUUGAAUACAGCGGUGCACUGAAUACAUUAGACAGCACUGCUUCCUCUGUCAAUCCUUUUAUAUCAGCAUUCAUAAACCCAAGCACUGCUGGAGUAUAUUCACCACACCAAACACACAACAUUCUCAACCUCAAAAACAGAAUCCAAAACAAUACUGUAAUACAGUAAACAUAAUGCAGAUUUUUUAUUUUGUUGCAGUGCUAGAAAAUUAUUGUUUUUAAUAAGUAAUUAAACGUAUUAAAGAGGUAGUUCUCCCAAAAAUGAAUUCUGUCAUCAUUUACUCACCCCCACGUCCCCUUUUGGAACACAAAAGGGGAAUUUUUAAAGAAUAUCCUGGCCGCUGUUUUCCAUAUAAUGAAAGUGAAUGAGGUCCUACAUUUCUGCUUGUUCCUCACAGAAGGCUAUUGCAUAGCAGAUGAGUCGUAUGGACAAGGAUGCUUUUGUGGAUGCCUUUAUUUUUUGUAUUAUUAUUAUUAUUUUUACUUUUUUUAUUUUUUGUCAUUUUGUAACUUGACAACCUCAGACUUCAUUCACUUUUAUUAUAUGUUAAAGAGAGGCCAGGAUAUUAUAUAUAUAUAUAUAUAUAUAUAUAUAUAUAUGUUUGAAAUUACAUGAGGGUGAGUAAAUGAUGACAGAAUUGUCAUUUUGGAAUUGCCAUUCUAAACUUGUUACUCUGGUUUCCCUCUUAUUUCCCCUGUCCCAAUGAGGCUAGACCCUCCAGCCUCCAUAGUUUCUGUGCAGCGCUGCCCAUGGCUCAGAGCUCCUGUGCCCAGUCCUCCACAAUAGACACCAACCUCAGCAGACUGCCAUCUCAAAUCAGUGGCCACAGCCCAGUCUCUCAAACCCCCAGCAGAUCCAUAAUCCAUUCCAUUCUGACCAAGAAUCCUCAACUCAUGCAGCCUUAUCUCCAGACCCUCAUCAUCCUUCCCGCCAAUACCCUGACAUGGAGCUGCACUCUCUGCCUCCUAAACUGAGCCGCAUGCAACUACCUGAAAGUGCUCUCAGGAACCUGGAGAUGAACCCAGCCUCGGACUAUAUUAAUCCAAGACCACUCACCAACAUCCACAGUAGGAUCCAAGUCCAAGCAUUAGCCUCAGGAACAUCAGGGAAGGUCCCUCAACAUGAGCAGUAUCUCGGGGAGUCCGAAAGAGAGCUUCGCCCCCAUAUUUAUCCAACAGUUCAGAAUACAUUGGUCAGCAGUUUACAUUAAACAGCAUGUUGGCUCAACAGGCAAGAGACAGUCAGUUCGAACACAGGUCACAGCUGGACUAUCCCACUGCAAAGCCACAAACUGAAUACUAUUGUAAAAACAUAUUGGGAAAUUAAUUAAUAUUCCGGGUUCAAUAUAAGUCAAGCUCAGUUGACUGCAUUUGUGGCAUAAUAUUGAUUACAACAACAACAACAACAACAACAAAAAAAUGUCCACUCAUUCAUCCUUUUCUUUAAAAAAAGCAAAAAUUGAGGUUACAGUGAGGCACUUACGAUCGAAGUACAUGGGGCCCAUUUUCGGAGGGUUGUAAGGCAGGAAUUUGAAGCUUAUAAUUUUAUAAAAUUACUCGCAUUAUUUUUUCUGUUAAAACUUGGGUAUUAUUUGAGUUGUCAUGGCAACAAAGUUAUAAAAUUGGAUAUAAUUUUACACAGAAAAGUUUAGUAAGCAAUAUUAUCACACUAAAAUCAUGUUAACACACAUAUUGUUUAUGUCUUGUGGCUAUACUUUUAAAAACUGUGAGUAUUUUAAUGUUUAUGGAUUGGCCCCAUUUACUUCCAUUGUAAGUUCCUUAAUGUAUCUCAGAAUUGAGCUUUGUUUUUUGAAAAGGCGGGACAAAUAGAAAUGAAUUUUUUGUGGUAAUCAGCAUUAUGUCACAAAUGCUGUUGACUGAGCUUAAGUUGUAUUGAACCCAGAAUAUUUUGUUUAAAGUCAGUGAUCAUUUUGUUGCUCAUUUCCAAUGUCUACUGCUCUGCUUUAUUUGCAUGAUUGCUGUCUGUGUCACUCUGAACAGAUUAAGUUUGUGGACUAAGUGCAUUACAGGCAAACAAUGUAAAUAGUUUCAAUGGGAUAUGGGGUUGUUGAAUGCGUUGAAGUCAAUAUUUAUGUUUAGGAUUAAUAGUGCGUUAAUGAUCUGUGCUGGUUUCAAGACAUACAGCUCAAAUGUUUUCAGCAUAUGAAAAUCUUGAUCAAUAUCACACUGUUAGUGUCAUAAUAUCUGCUGUUUUAUGGGCUUCCUUUUUAUACUGAACCUAACUAUAGUAUCCUGUGUUGACAGUAUUUGUUAAAGGAAUAGUUC